AUUGAACGCUGGCGGCAGGCCUAACACAUGCCAGUCGAACGGUAACACGAAGAAGCUUGCUUCUUUGCUGACGAGUGGCGGACGGGUGAGUAAUGUCUGGGAAACUGUCUGAUGGAGGGGGAUAACUACUGGAAACGGUUGCUAAUACCGCAUAACGUCGCAAGACCAAAGAGGGGGACCUUCGGGCCUCUUGCCAUCGUAUGUGCCCAGAUGGGAUUAGCUAGUAGGUGGGGUAACGGCUCACCUAGGCGACGAUCCCUAGCUGGUCUGAGAGGAUGACCAGCCACACGGGAACUGAGACACGGUCCAGACUCCUACGGGAGGCAGCAGUGGGGAAUAUUGGACAAUGGGCGCAAGCCUGAUGCAGCCAUGCCGCGUGUAUGAAGAAGGCCUUCGGGUUGUAAAGUACUUUCAGCGGGGAGGAAGGGAGUAAAGUUAAUACCUUUGCUCAUUGACGUUACCCGCAGAAGAAGCACCGGCUAACUCCGUG
rnacentral:rRNA from 1 species